UAGCCUAGUGGUUAAGGCUAUGGAUCGCCAAUCCGAAGACGGCGGGUUUGAUUCCCGU
rfam:Aedes albopictus isolate Foshan contig6329, whole genome shotgun sequence.